rnacentral:rRNA from 1 species
UACGGAGGGUGCAAGCGUUAAUCGGAAUUACUGGGCGUAAAGCGCACGCAGGUGGCUGAGUCAGUCGAUUGUGAAAGCCCUGGGCUUAACCUGGGAAUUGCAGUCGAUACUACUCAGCUAGAGUAUGGGAGAGGGUAGUGGAAUUCCCGGUGUAGCGGUGAAAUGCGUAGAUAUCGGGAGGAACAUCAGUGGCGAAGGCGGCUACCUGGCCCAAUACUGACACUCAGGUGCGACAGCGUGGGGAGGCAAACAGG